UGAUGAGAAUGAUAGUGAUGAUGAUGAUGAUGAUGAUGAUGAUGAUGAUGAUCAUCAUCAUCAUCAUCAUCAUCAUCAUCAUCAUCAUCAUCAUCA
rnacentral:pre_miRNA from 1 species